AAAGUGAAACUGGAGGUGGGGAAACUUUUGGGUAAUGAAGAUGAUACCGCACUUCAAGGCCAGAUAAAAAAAAUAUGAAUGAUGAGCUGGAAGCAAAGAUGAAGGAAAUGGAAGUCAUGAAUCAAACUCGUGCUUAGCGUUUAUUAAGAUAGCUGAGUUGGCGGUUAUACGCGUUGGCAAUCACGAAGUAAUACAUCAUCCUUUACCUUCUGAACCUGUUUUUGUACCUGUGUAGUAGACUAUCAUGGUCACUUGUCAAAUAUGCCCCUUACUACUAGCGUUAGGGCUUGCUAAAAGUUGAUGUUUUGUAAGUAAUAUCAUCAACAUAUUAGGAAUAUAAAAUUCCGUAAGCAGCUUGUUGCACUAAUCUCACUUAUGUUUGUUUCUUGAAAUGCUGCAUUAAACUCACUUAGUUAUAUGAAAACUGAAGUUGGAAUCC